rnacentral:rRNA from 1 species
AUGAACGCUGGCGGCGUGCCUAAUACAUGCCCGUCGAGCGCACAGAUGAGGAGCUUGCUCCUCUGACGUUAGCGGCGGACGGGUGAGUAACACGUGGAUAACCUACCUAUAAGACUGGGAUAACUUCGGGAAACCGGAGCUAAUACCGGAUAAUAUAUUGAACCGCAUGGUUCAAUAGUGAAAGACGGUUUUGCUGUCACUUAUAGAUGGAUCCGCGCCGCAUUAGCUAGUUGGUAAGGUAACGGCUUACCAAGGCAACGAUGCGUAGCCGACCUGAGAGGGUGAUCGGCCACACUGGAACUGAGACACGGUCCAGACUCCUACGGGAGGCAGCAGUAGGGAAUCUUCCGCAAUGGGCGAAAGCCUGACGGAGCAACGCCGCGUGAGUGAUGAAGGUCUUCGGAUCGUAAAACUCUGUUAUUAGGGAAGAACAAAUGUGUAAGUAACUAUGCACGUCUUGACGGUACCUAAUCAGAAAGCCACGGCUAACUACGUG